GUUUGAUUAAGGCUCGUGAUUAACGCUGGCGGGAUGCUUUACACAUGCAAGUCGUGAACGGCAGCACGGACUUCGGUCUGGUGGCGAAAAAGUGAACGGGUGAGUAAUAUCGGAACGGUGCUCAGUAGCGGGGAUAACUACGCGAAAGCGUAGCCAAUACCGCAUACGCCCUUCGGGAAAGCGGGGACCUUCGGGCCUCGCACUAGAGCGGCCGAUAAUGGAUUAGCUAGUUGGUAGUAACGGCUCACCAAGGCGACGAUCCAGAGCUGGCUGUGAGAGGACAUCAGCCACACUGGGACUGAGACACGGCCCAGACUCCUACGAGGUGGCAGCGGGGAAUUUUGGACAAUGGGGAAACCCUGAUCCAGCCAUCCUGCGUGUGCGCGAUGAAGGCCCUCGUUGUAAAGCACUUUUGGCAGAAAGAAACGGCACGGGAUAAUACCCCGUGCAACUGACGGUACCUGCAGAAUAAGCACCGGCUAACUACGUGCCAGCAGCCGCGGUAAUGCUGUGUAGGGUAAGCAAUCGGGAAUUAUUUGGCGUAAAGCGUGCAGGCGGUUCGGAAAGAAAGAUGAAAUCCCAGAGCUUUAACUUUGGAACUGCAUUUUAACUACCGAGCUAGAGUGUGUCAGAGGGAGGUGGAAUUCCGCGUGUAGCAGUGAAAUGCGUAGAUAUGCGGAGGAACACCGAUGGCGAAGGCAGCCUCCUGGGAUAACACUGACGCUCGCGCACGAAAGCGUGGGGAGCAAAAUAUCAGAUGUUCUGGUAGUCCACGCCCUAAACGAUGUCAACUAGCUGUUGGGGCCUUCGGGCCUUGGUAGCGCAGCUAACGCGAAGGACUGCCUGGGGAGUACGGUCGCAAGAUUAAAACUCAAAGGAAUUGACGGGGACCCGCACAAGCGGUGGAUGAUGUGGAUUAAUUCGAUGCAACGCGAAAACCUUACCUACCCUGACAUGUCUGGAAUCCCGAAGAGAUUUGGGAGUGCUCGCAAGAGAACCGGAACACAGGUGCUGCAUGGCUGUCGUCAGCUCGCCGAGAUGUUGUUAAGUCCCGCAACGAGCGGUGCAACCUCUUGUCAUUAGUUGCGCGCUUAUGCGGCACUCUAAUGAGACUGCCGGUGACAAACCGGAGGAAGGUGGGGAUGACGUCAAGUCCUCAUGGCCUUGGCGGGUAGGGCUUCACACCGCCACACAAUGGUCGGGAUGAGGUCGCCAACCCGCGAGGGGGAGCCAAUCCCAGAAACCCGGAUCGUAGUCCGGACUGCAGUCUGCAACUCGACUGCGUGAAGUCGGAAUCGCUAGUAAUCGCGGAUCAGCAUGUCGCGGUGAACACGUUCCCGUUCCGGUACACACCGCCCGUCACACCAUGAGUGGGUUUACCAGAAGUAUGGGCCUAACCGUAAGGAGGGUUACUACCACGGUAGGAUUCAUGACUGGGUGAAGUCGUAACAAGGUAA
rnacentral:rRNA from 1 species